GGGACUACAUCCCAUCACAUCUCCUAGGUCAUGUUAAGGGAUCUGGUCCUCAUUUCCAGCCCAGUGAGAAGUGUGGGAGGCGGCAUGCUCUGAUUUUCCGUUUUAGAAGCGUCCUCCGGCAGUGGAGCAGGGAGAAUGGAUUGGACAAGGACGGGAGUGCAUACGGGGACCAGUCUGGGGGGUUCCUCCCACUGUCCCGUCCAGGCAGGUAGAUCAACAGUCAGUAGAUUGAGUGGGUGCCAGUGCGAGAUGAAGACGUGUGGACUGCCUUCAGGGACUGCUAAGCAGCACAAUUGGGGAAGCAGGAGAGACUGGAAGAAGAGAAGCUAUUCAAUUAUUUAGGUAAGAGGUUAUGAGGACGCCAAGUCGAUGACAGGCGGCCUGGCGGAAGGAUCCCUCGGGCACUGCAGAGAAAAAUCAAUGGGAUUUGGAAGCUGAUUGGUUGGGUGGAAGCCUCGUGGGAAAAGGAGGAAUUUAGAAGGACACCAGCCCCAACUGUUCCUUGCCAUCUCUGUCUUGAAUAUGCUGAGUGUGAUGACGGAUACACAUCACAUGCACUGCCUUCAACUCUGUCCAUUUGCACAGAAGUGAGCUGGCCUGUGAAUGGUGGAGGCUGGUAGAUACCGGGCCGCUUGAACAACGAGGAGAGGCGCUUCACCCUGUGUGCGAGAGGAGGACGGCACAGAGCAGGACCGACGACAGCCACCGUCUCUCACCGGUCUCUCCGCUCCCCUCCCGCCAUCCUCCCGUGACCCGUGACGGCGGACGCAGAGACCUUUACAAAAGUGCAUCGGAUCACGCCGCUCUGCUCCGUCCGUCCUCAGACCUUCCACCGCAGUUUGCCAGUCUGACCUGAAACAAAAUCCAGGCGCCUCACCACCUCUCGCCUCUCUCCCCUCACUCACGAGCAAACUGCACCACCUGCAGUUCCCUGCCGCUCCCACGCGAGCCUGGCCCUGCCGCGGGGCCUUUGCGACGGCUGUCCCGGCUGCCAGGAACAUGCUUUCCCUCGAGUUUCCCGUGGCUGGCUUCCCCCCGUGCAAGCCUGGGUCUAAGUGGAAUCUCAUUUGAAAACUCGCCCCUACCUCUCAGGCCCUCUCCCCCAGGACACCCCUUGACUACCGCAGGAGCACAGCCACCGGUGCCUGAAAUGCUCUCACUAGCCGAGUGAGGGAGCGGGUCUGGGGCUGUCUCUCUCACUGGGGUGCCAGCUCCCUGAGGGGCAUGCCUGGCCUGGUCAGUCUCCUCCACUGCCCGGCACUUAGUAGGUGCUCAACAGGGUGUGUCUGAAAUCGAUUUGUUGCCACUGGGACGGCUGAAGGCUGGCUUGGGAGCCUCAUAGUGACCAUUCUCCUAGCAGUCUUUUAACGUAUUCAAAUCUGUCGCUGCAGGCGGAAUCCACGCAACUCAAGCAAACCGCACCACGUGGUGAUUGGCAGCCUAGCUGUGAGUCAGUAGGGUUGGCAGGGGAGCAAUUGCUUACACAUUGUAGUGUGGUGUGGCACUGGUCAUCCGCCUCCUCCCAAGGCUUAAGAUAACUAUUUUUAGACAGCCUUACUGAGAUACAAUUCGCACACCACACAGCUCACCUCUUCCAAGCACCCCGUUAGCAGUUUUUAGUGUAUCCAGAGUUGUGUAACCUUCACCACUAUCGUUUUCCAGAACAUUCCCCUCCCUCAAAAAAAAAAAACCCUCUUACUCAUUAGCCUCAUUUCCUCUUUUCCCCUCAGCUCACCUCCCUCCAGUACUAGGAAAUCACUGAUCCGAUUGUCGUCUCUGGGGAUCUGCUUCUUCUGCACACUUUACAAACCACACAGCCUGUGUUCCUUAGAGACUGGCUUCUUUUACUUAGCAUCAUGUUCUCAGCUCCUCCGCGUUGUAGCACCCAGCCCCAGUUUCCCCCUUUUCAUUGCCAAAUACUCCAUUUUAUUUAUCCACUCACCCAUCGAGGAACACGAGGGUUAUUUCCAUUUAUUUAUUUUUGCCUGGUAUAAGUAUAUGCUUUCGGUUAUCUUGGGUGUACACCCAGGAGUGGAACUGCCAGGCCCCACGGUGACUCCAUGGGCAUCCUUUUGCGGAACCGCCAGACCGCUCUGCA